AAUGACCUGGUCUAAGGGUGUAGGGCUGCCGGUAGGUAAAUCCGCCGGCUGUGUGCCUGAGACUGAUGGGCGCCCACAUGUGGGUGAUCCGGUGAUCCUAUGCUGCCUAGAAAAGCAUCGGCGCGAGGUUCAAACUGCCCGUACCCUAAACCGACACAGGUGGUCAGGUAGAGAAUACUAAGGCGAUCGAGAGAAUCAUGGUUAAGGAACUCGGCAAAAUGCCCCCGUAACUUCGGGAGAAGGGGCCCCAACCUUGAGCACCACUCGCUGGUGUGAGGGGAUCGGGGCCGCAGAGACCAGGGGGAAGCGACUGUUUAUCAAAAACACAGGUCCAUGCGAAGUCGUAAGAGAUGUAUAUGGACUGACUCCUGCCCGGUGCUGGAAGGUUAAGGGGACCCGUUAGCUUCGGCGAAGCGGAGAACUUAAGCCCCAGUAAACGGCGGUGGUAACUAUAACCAUCCUAAGGUAGCGAAAUUCCUUGUCGGGUAAGUU
rnacentral:rRNA from 1 species